rnacentral:rRNA from 2 species
UGCAGUCGAGCGGACUGAUGGGAGCUUGCAUCCCUGAUGUUAGCGGCGGACGGGUGAGUAACACGUGGGCAACCUACCUGUAAGACUGGGAUAACUCCGGGAAACCGGGGCUAAUACCGGAUAACCCGUUCCUCCUCAUGGAGGGACGGUAAAAGAUGGCUUCUUGCUAUCACUUACAGAUGGGCCCGCGGCGCAUUAGCUAGUUGGUAAGGUAAUGGCUUACCAAGGCGACGAUGCGUAGCCGACCUGAGAGGGUGAUCGGCCACACUGGGACUGAGACACGGCCCAGACUCCUACGGGAGGCAGCAGUAGGGAAUCUUCCGCAAUGGACGAAAGUCUGACGGAGCAACGCCGCGUGAGUGAUGAAGGUUUUCGGAUCGUAAAGCUCUGUUGUUAGGGAAGAACAAGUGCCGUUCGAAUAGGGCGGCACCUUGACGGUACCUAACCAGAAAGCCACGGCUAACUACGUGCCAGCAGCCGCGGUAAUACGUAGGUGGCAAGCGUUGUCCGGAAUUAUUGGGCGUAAAGCGCGCGCAGGCGGUCUUUUAAGUCUGAUGUGAAAGCCCACGGCUCAACCGUGGAGGGUCAUUGGAAACUGGGAGACUUGAGUACAGAAGAGGAGAGUGGAAUUCCACGUGUAGCGGUGAAAUGCGUAGAUAUGUGGAGGAACACCAGUGGCGAAGGCGACUCUCUGGUCUGUAACUGACGCUGAGGCGCGAAAGCGUGGGGAGCAAACAGGAUUAGAUACCCUGGUAGUCCACGCCGUAAACGAUGAGUGCUAGGUGUUAGGGGUUUCGAUGCCCUUAGUGCCGAAGUUAACACAUUAAGCACUCCGCCUGGGGAGUACGACCGCAAGGUUGAAACUCAAAGGAAUUGACGGGGGCCCGCACAAGCAGUGGAGCAUGUGGUUUAAUUCGAAGCAACGCGAAGAACCUUACCAGGUCUUGACAUCCUUUGACAACCCUAGAGAUAGGGCUUUCCCCUUCGGGGGACAAAGUGACAGGUGGGUGCAUGGGUUGUCGUCAGCUCGUGUCCUGGAGAUGUUGGGGUUAAGUCCCGCAACCGAGCGCAACCCUUUGAUCUUAAGUUGCCAGCAUUUCAGUUGG